rnacentral:lncRNA from 1 species
GGAAUGAGAUCUCUGCUGUCUCUGGGCUAGGUACAGGAGCGCUGUUUGUGAGUGGUUAGGCUGGUGGCUCAGAGACAGGAGAUGCGCGGCCCCGAGAAGUGGCCAUGUUUUUCUUUCAGCCUUUGAACGAAAACAACGUCGCCCGGUUGGAAUAUUAUCGCUAUUUUACGAGAAAAAUAGCAUAAAAAUUGAUUUUAACAGCGUUUGACAUGCUUCUAAGAACAAAACGGAGGAUAUUUGGACAUAACUAUGGAUUAUUUUGAACCAAAACAACAUUUGUGGUUGAAGUAGAAGUCCUGGGAGUGCAUUCUGACGAAGAACAGCAAAGGACCUGAGCCCUAGGACCAUGCCUCAGGACUACCUGGCUUGAUGACUCCUUGCUGUCCCCAUUUCACCUGGCCGUGCUGCUGCUCCAGUUCCAACAGUUCUGCCUGCAGCUAUGGAACCCUGACCUGUUCACCGGACGUGCUACCUGUCCCAGACCUGCUGUCCCAGACCUGCUGGAACCCUAACCUAUUCACCGGACGUGCUACCUGUCCUAGACAUGCUGUUUUCAAUUCUCUAGAGACAGCAGGAGCGGUAGAGAUACUCUCAAAGAUCAGCAAUGAAAAGCCAACUGACACUUACUCUUGUGUUACUGACUUGUUGCACCCUCGACAACUACUAUGAUUAUUAUUAUUUGACCAUGCUGGUCAUUUAUGAACAUUUGAACAUCUAGGCCAUGUGCUGUUAUAAUCUCCACCCGGCACAGCCAGAAGAGGACUGGCCACCCCUCAUAGCCUGGUUCCUCUCUAGGUUUCUUCCUAGGUUUUGGCCUUUCUAGAGAGUCUUUCCUAGCCACCGUGCUUCUACACCUGCAUUGCUUGCUGUUUGGGGUUUUAGGCUGGGUUUCUGUACAGCACUUUGAGAUAUCAGCUGAUGUAAGAAGGGCUAUAUAAAUACAUUUGAUUUGAUUUGAUUUGUUCAAUCAAGUUCAUAUUUAUAUCAAAAAACAGCUUUUUACAUUAGCAUGUGAUGUUCAGAACUAGCAUACCCACCGCAAACUUCCGGUGAAUUUACUAAAUUACUCAUGAUAAACGUUGACAAAAUACAUAACAAUUAUUUUAUGAAUUAUAGAUACAGAACUCCUUUAUGCAAUCGCUAUGUUCGAUUUUAAAAUAGCUUUUCGGCGAAAGCACAUUUUGCAAUAUUCUGAGUACAUAGCUCGGCCAUCACGGCUAGCUAUUUUGACAUCCGCCAACUUCGGGGUCACCUAAACUCAGAAUUACUAUUAGAAAAAUUGGAUUACCGUUGCUGUUCUUCGUCAGAAUGCACUCCCAGGACUUCUACUUCAACAACAAAUGUUGUUUUGGUUCCAAAUAAUCCAUAGUUAUAUCCAAAUACCUUCGUUUUGUUCGUGCGUUCAGGUCACUAUCUGAAGGGUAACCCGCGAGCACAUUUCGUGACAAAAAAAUUCAAAAUAUUCCAUUACCGUACUUAGAAGCAUGUCAAACGCUGUUUAAAAUCAAUUUUGAUGCUAUUUUUCUCGUAAAAUAGCGAUAAUAUUCCAAUCGGGCAACGUUGUAUUCAUUCAAAGACUGAAAGAAAAACAUGGCGAGUUCUCGUGAACGCGCAUCUCCAGUCUCACUGUCCCCAGGCUAACCACUUACAAACUCUGCUCCUAUACUUUGCCCAGAGACAGCAGACACCCCAUUCCACUUUCUGGCGGCUUUAGAGAGCCAAUGGAAGCCUUAGAAAGUGUCACGUUACAGCACAGAUGCUGUAAUGUUGAUAGAGAUACAACAGAAGGACAACAAAUUGUCAGACAGGGCACUUCCUGAAUGGAAUCCUCUCAGGUUUUGGCCUGCCAUGUGAGUUCUGUUAUACUCACAGACACCAUUCAAACAGUUUUAGAAACUUUAGAGUGUUUUCUAUCCAAAUCUACUAAUUAUAUGCAUAUUCUAGUUUCUGGGCAGGAGUGGUAACCAGAUUAAUCGGGUACAUUUUUUAUCCGGCCGUGAAAAUACUGCCCCCUAUCCCAAAGAAGUUAAAGAGGUGGGGUUUCAGGUGUCUCCGGAAGGUGGUGAUUGACUCCGCUGUCCUGGCGUUGUGAGGGAGCUUGUUCCACAUGUAAGAACAACCAUCUCUGUAGCACUCCACCAAUCAGACCUUUAUUGUAGAGUGGGCAGUUGGAAGCCACUCCUCAGUAAAAUGCACAUCACAGCCCGCUUGGAGUUUACCAAAAGGCACCUGAAGGACUUUCAGACCAUGAGAAACAAGAUUCUCUGAUUUGAUGAAACCAAGAUUGAACUCUUUGGCCUGAAUGCUAAGAGUCACGUCUGGAGGAAAACUGACACCUUCCCUACAGUGAAGCACGCUGGUGGCAGCAUCAUCCUGUGGGGAUGUUUUUCAGUGGCAGGGACUGGGAGACUAGUCAGGAUCGAGGGAAAGAUGAACAGAGGAAAGUACAGAGAGAUUAUUGAUGAAAACCUGCUCCAGAGCGGGUCGAAACUUCACCUUACAACAGGACAACAACCCUAAGCACACAGCCAAGACAAAGCAGGAAUAGCUUUGUGACAAGUCUCUGAAUGUCCUUGAGUGGCCCAGCUGCAGCCCAGACUUGAACCCAAUCGAACAUAUCUGGAGAAACCUGAAAAUAGCUGUGCAGCAACACUCCCCAUCCAAUCUGACAGCUCUUGAGAGGAUCUGCAGAGAAGAAUGGGAGAAACUCCCCAAAUACAGGAGUGCCACGCUUGUAGCGUCGUACCCAAGAAGACUUGAGGGUGUAAUCACUGCUAACGGUGCUUCAACAAAGUACUGAGUAAAGGGUCUGAAUACUCAUAUAAAUGUGAUGUUUCUAUUUUUUUUUUAAAUAAUUUGCAAACAUUUCUAAAAACCUGUUCAUGCUUGGUCAUUAUGGGGUAUUGUGUGUAGAUUGAUGAUGGAAACAAACCUUUUAAUACCUUUUAGAAUAAGGCUGUAACGUAACAAAAUGCGCCAAAAAUCCAAAUGCACUGUAACCUCACCCCCUUUGCCAAAACACAGUCCCCACACCACCAAAGGGAUAUCAACAGACCAUUAUCUUAUUACCCUGUGACAAGGCCGAGUAUAGCCCAUAAAUAUAUUCCCCACCGCAUGAGCCCGAGGUCAGGAAAGAAGAUCUCAUGAGCGACACAACCCAAUCAUGUUAACUAUAGCGUGAUGCACUCCUCCUAGGGACGGCAUGGAAGAUCACUAGUAAGCCAGUGACUCGGCCCCCAUAAUAGGGUCAGAGGCAGUGAAUCCCAGUGGAGAGAGGGGAGCCAGCCAGGCAGGGACAGCAAGGGCGGUUCUUCACUCCAGUUCCUUGGCGUUCACAUUCGCACUCUUGGGCCAAACUACACUCAAUCAUAGGACCUGCUGAAAAGAUGAGUCUUCAGGAAAGAAUUAAAGGUUGAGUUCGAGUCAGCAUAUCUCAAAUAGAUCGGCAGACUAUUCCAUAAAAAAUGUAGCUCUGUAGGAGAAAGCCCUGCCUCCAGCUGUUUGCUUAGAAAUUCUAGGAACAAUAAGGAGGCCUGCGUCUUGUGACUGUAGCGUAUGUGUUGGUAUGUACGGCAGGACCAAAUUAGAUAGAUAGGUAGGAGCAAGUCAAUAUAAAACUUUGUAGGUUAGCAGUAAACCCUUGGAGUAAUAUGAUUGAAUUGUUUGGUUCUAGUCAAGAUUCUAGCAGACGUAUUUAGCACUAGCUGAAGUUGAUUUAGUGCCUUAUCCGAGUAGCCGGAGAGUUGAACAGUGCAGAAGUCUAAUCUUGAAGUGACAAAAGUAUUUUUGGACCAAAAAAAACAUUUCAGAUUUGAGCAUUGUUACAAAGAUGGAAAAAGGCUGCUGUUGAAAUAUUUUUGAUAUGUUUGUUAAAAGAGAGAUCAGGGUCCAGAGUUACGCAGAGGUCCUUCACAGUUUUAUUGGAGACGACUGUACAUUCAUCGAGAUUCAUUGUCAGAUCCGACAGCAGCCUGUGUAACCCACUACCAUCUAGAAGGCGGAGACAGUAGAGCUGCAUCAAAGCUGGGACAGAGAGACUGAUAAACAGCUUCUGUCCCCAGGCUGUCAGACUGUUAAACAGCCACCACUAGACAGCCUCCGCCCAGUACCCUACCCUCUGCCCAGUACCCUACUCUGCCCCUCAGUCAUUGUCACCAGCUGGCUACCAACAGGUACUGUAGGUACUCAACCCUGCACCUUAGGGACUGCUGCCCUAUGCACAUAGUCAUUGAACAUGGGACACUUUAAUAAUGUUUACAUACUAUUUACAUAUCUACUGCUGUACACAUUUUUGUAAAUAAUUUUAAAUAUUUUGGAUUAUUGUGUGCUUGAUGACAUUUACUGCAUUGAUUGAUAGGAACUAGGAACAGAAGUAUUUCGCUGCACCCGCCAUAACACCUGCUAAACUGUGUACACGACCAAUACAAUUUUAUAUAAUUUCAUACUUCAGUGGCUUACUCUAUGCCAUCCUACAUUCCUUGCUUCCACCUUUUCCCCUAACUACGUCACCGCCCACCCUUCCGUGGUCCAUGCCAGGUGUCAGAGAAAUGUAAUCCUGCCAUUGUUAAGUCUGUUCCUGUUCUGAUGUGUCAGGGCAUAAAUCUCAGGCUGCUGUCAUGCGGGCAGGCCCACAUCUCUCCUCAUCAUUCAGACACACACACACAUACAGGGUUGUGUAGGUUACUUUCUAAAUGUAAUCCAUUACAGUUACUAGUUACCUGUACAAAAUUGUAAUCAGUAACAUAACUUUUGGAUUACCCAAACUCAGUAACGUAAUCUGAUUACAUUCAGUUACUUUUAGAUUACUUUCCCUUAAGAGGCAUUGGAAGACAAAAAUGUAUGUUACCAAUUGAAUGACAUCUAUUGCAGAAUAAAUCAAUGUUAAAGUUUACAUAGCUGACCAUAUAUGAACUUAAAAUUGUACUAUAUGGGUUGGUUAUGUAGGCCUCUUCUAACCCAUCACUUUCUACUACAUAUAAUAAUACUGUUAAUUUAUAUCUUUACAUUAAAAACCAAAGUCUAUCAGAAUUCCAGUUAUUCCAAUAAAUGUUAUAUCCCUGGAUCUUCAAGAAUAGGACUUAGAAAUAAGUAAGUAUAGAUUUGCCAAAUUGUUUAACCUGAGCAUAACCCCAAAACUGAGGACUUAUUAGCCAGCCCUACUCUGUUGUUUAUGAUUUUGUUGUCAUGGAGGACUGAUUGGGCUCAUUGAUUCAAGAUGAAAAAAAUAUUCUGCACUCAUGGAAUGGCAUGCUUUGACCACUACUGAAAAGUGCUAUUUAAAUGUGAAAAAUGAAUGUCAUAUGCUGCAUUUGCUAUAGACCUAUUGUUUACCUGUCCUCGUUAUUGUCUCCACCCCCUCCAGGUGUCGCUUGUUUUCCCCAGUGUAUUUAUCCCUGUGUUUCCUGUCUCUCUGUGCCAGUUCGUCUUGUAUGUCCAAGUCUUUCCAGCUUUUCUUCCAGUUUUCCUGCUUUGACUUUUCUCCUUUUUCUAGUCCUCCCAGUUUUGACCCUUGCCUGUUCUGGACUCUGUACCUGCCGGCCUGACCAUUCUGCCUGCCCUGACCUCGAGCCUGCCUGCCAGUCUGUACCUCCUGGACUCUGAUCUGGUUAUGACCUUUGGCCUGUCCACGACCAUUCUCUUGACUAUUCCUUUUUGGAUUCAUUAAACAUCUUAAACUCCAACCAUCUGCCUCCUGUGUCUGCAUUUGGGUCUCGCCUAGUAUCAUGAUACCAUUAUUGGGGUCAAAUACACGUUUAGAUUUGUGAACAGCCGUCCACAACAAACACAAUCCGUAAGGCGCAAAUAGCUAAAUGAGAG